UGAUUUUAGAAAUUGUAAGUGAGCAAAAAAAUAGUUGUUUUCGUUGUGGAGAGAAUGUGGAGGAUCUUUUAAGUAUGUGAGUAUUUAUAUAUUAGUGAAAUUGAAUUGCAAUGAUCAAAUUAAUUUAUUCUAAUUUAUAAAUUAUUGUAGGCAUGGAAAAAUUGGAGGGAAGGGACAGCUUCAAACCUUGACCUUGAGGACUGGUUCAAGAAGUGAAAUAAUGAGAUGCAUGCACAUAACAUUGGAUUAUUA
rnacentral:lncRNA from 1 species